UAAAGGAGUUCUCAGAAAUCCCAAGCUGAACAUAUUCCAGAACAUGACUUUCUCUUUAAUAGGCUCUCUGCCAGAAUGACACAUUGCUCUGGCUCACUGGAGUCAUUUAUAAACUGCCCUUUUUCACUCUGUUCCUUCCUGCAACAUUCCUGCUUCCAUCGACCGGCACCGAGGGAUAGUACGACUCAUGCAUGCCUCCCUUCCAUGCUGGAAGCCAAGGCAGCAUCCAUGAGGUUCCCUGAGAGUCCCAUCCAGACAUUGGCCAGACCAUACCUGUUUAGCUUCAGCAAGGCUACUUCCUUACAAGUCUUCAUGGCUCUGAAUUGGACAUAGUGGCCAAGAUCCAAAAUAAGUGAGGUUUCAUCAGAGUGAUGAACAGCAGAACCUGCUGGAAUGUUCAACAUCUGGCCCCAAGAAGGAAUUACAACUUUAAAGUCAAUUUUGCUAUGAUGGUAAAAUCUAAAAGGAAGGGAGUAUUGAAACAUUUUCUGUGGCUAAAUGGAAUUUUGGUGCAUUGUUAGGCUAUGAAACAGUCACCAGCCUGAACAUAGCUGCCAACUGUGCAGUUUGUUCAGUAAAGUUUAUGCUAGUGCUUGAAGUAACUGAAAGGGAUCUGAGCAGUUAUUCCCCAGCAACAGGCUAUGACAGCAGCAUCCAUUAAUUUGAUGUUAUCGCUGAACGCUUGGAGUGGACACAUUACUGCAGUUGGAUCUUCAUUUCAAAUGUCUGUAUAUUGAUAGGAAAUGAAGGAAAAAUUACAGCACUGAGUAUUGCCGCAAUGCAGGGAGAUGAGCUAAUGGAACAUCACUGUGCAUGCAUCCCGUGCAAGUUGAUUGCAAAAGAAGAGAAGCGAGCUUGUUGCCAGCUCCAGAAGUGUAGCCCUGAUGGGUGCAACCUUUCCCCAGUGACUGUGAAAAUCUUGAUAAAGAUAGUGAUGAGGCACUUCAGUGAAGCUUAAAUUCUAAGCCUUGGGUUUGCCCUCCCACACACUUUAGGUGGGCAGGCAAACCACAGUCUGUCAUUUGCGAAGUCAAAAAGCACAGGGUACAUUUAAUUACUGUGUUAGCACUUGAAAACAGUUUCUGUGCCAAGAACUGGUUGCUGUGUGUGUGUGUGUGUGUGUGAGAGAGAGAGAGAGAGAGAGAGAGAGAGAGAGACUCUGUGUGUGUAUUUGUCCCCCUCUCUUGGUUGUUACUCUGCUGUCCUUUUGUGGUGACUUCACAACAGGAUAAUCCUGCACCUGGGAUCUGAGCUAUACAAGGAAGAGUUUAGGAAUAUGUUAUGAAAAGCCAUUUCAUGUAA